GGUUAGGGCGCGUCACGUGACG
rnacentral:miRNA from 1 species